rnacentral:lncRNA from 1 species
CUUUCCCAACUCAUUUCCCCUUUCCUUUACGUGUUGUUUUCAUUCUUCUCCUCUUCGCCUAAUCGAUCUUGUUUACAGGUUUCAGCCGAUGACAUCGUCAUCAGUCAGUCAUCUUCAAUUUCCACCCAAACCCUUUUAACCUUCCCUUUUCAAGUGUCUUAAAUUUAAACUUUUCCCAAAUCACCUAUUCGAGUCGUCGAUCGCUACCGCCGCUCUAAUCCCUCUCCAGACCCAAGUAAUUUGACAAUUUCAUAGAUGCACCCAUGAUUAGUACUCCACGUUUACCUCCAACGUAUGGAAGGUUUCUACAUUUAAUGAUCCAAUGAAGGCUUUUGGUUUGUUGAAUUGCUAUUCCUUUUUAUUUCAUACGAACCAAUCACAUCUAAAGCCUACAAUUUUGCUGCCAAAGGUCGAGAGACUUCACAUUGGAUGGUAAGAACAAAUAAUAGUAAUUCUUCAUAUCCUGUCAUUUUAAUGUGCACAAGUUCUUGCAUCCUCUUGUAUAUGGUGAAUAUCUAAAAACGAUGCAGAAUAUUGUUCCGAAAAAGGCAACCAGAGGUUAAGACGGUAAAUGAUCCUUUGAUUUCGUGUGCAUAAAUCAGUACUCCAGUUAUAAUAUGGAACCACAUCGAGAUAAGACAAAGCCCCUUGGCUACCAGUAGGAUUGGGAAGUUGGAUUUCCUUGUAAGAUACUCUCGUGCUUUUGUUUUUGACAUUGGAAUAAAUAUUUACAUAUACUGUAUAAUAUUAGCUUGUCCGUUGCCUCUCCAGAUGCUCGUCAUGUAGUGCCCGCAGUCAUUUCGAGGGUAACUUAGCUCAAACUAUAUAUUCUACAAAACUGAGUCAAACUUUUAUUAAGUACAUUUUGUUGAUAAAAAUGUCACUAUGAAUUAGUUAUAAUUAGGUAGUGUAUGAUUUGACCUAUAUUGUACCGUGGAGUCUGGACAUAGCUAUUAACUAUGUUAAAGAGGGCUUUCGAAGUCCUACCAUGAUUUUUGCUGAGAAUGGUGCAUUUUGUAUUAGAUAUUUAUUCGAGUUAUGUGUUAAGGUGAAAAUUUAUAAAAAAUACUAAAUCACGUUCAUAUGACUAUCAGGAAUGGAUGAUCCAGGGAAUUUAACUCUUAAGGCUUUGAUACCACAAAAAUCAACUACUACAAGAGCUAUUUAGCAGAAUUGAUGAAAACAAUCAUUGAGGAAGCCAACGUGAUCAGGUACUUCCGAUGGACAUUGCUCGAUAAUUUCGAAUGGAGACUCUUUUGCUCUUUUUUUUUUUUUCCUUUUUUUUUGUAUAGAAAAAUACUAUGCUUUUUAUUGAUUGGGUGAUACAAAGAUGGGUUCUUUCAUAGUGUUUUUGGUGUUUUCG